CGGAAGGAUCAUUACAGAGUUCAUGCCCGAAAGGGUAGACCUCCCACCCUUGUGUAUUAUUACUUUGUUGCUUUGGCGAGCUGCCUUCGGGCCUUGUAUGCUCGCCAGAGAAUACCAAAACUCUUUUUAUUAAUGUCGUCUGAGUACUAUAUAAUAGUUAAAACUUUCAACAACGGAUCUCUUGGUUCUGGCAUCGAUGAAGAACGCAGCGAAAUGCGAUAAGUAAUGUGAAUUGCAGAAUUCAGUGAAUCAUCGAAUCUUUGAACGCACAUUGCGCCCCUUGGUAUUCCGGGGGGCAUGCCUGUUCGAGCGUCAUUUCAACCCUCAAGCUUAGCUUGGUAUUGAGUCUAUGUCAGUAAUGGCAGGCUCUAAAAUCAGUGGCGGCGCCGCUGGGUCCUGAACGUAGUAAUAUCUCUCGUUACAGGUUCUCGGUGUGCUUCUGCCAAAACCCAAAUUUUUCUAUGGUUGACCUCGGAUCAGGUAGGGAUACCCGCUGAACUUAAGCAUAUC
rnacentral:rRNA from 1 species